rnacentral:rRNA from 1 species
CAGUAGCCACGGUAAUACGAGGGGGGCAAGCGUUGUUCGGAAUUAUUGGGCGUAAAGGGCGCGUAGGCGGUUUGGCAAGUUUCGUGUGAAAUCUUCGGGCUCAACUCGAAGUCUGCACGGAAAACUGCCGGGCUUGAGUAUGGGAGAGGUGAGUGGAAUUUCCGGUGUAGCGGUGAAAUGCGUAGAUAUCGGAAGGAACACCUGUGGCGAAAGCGGCUCACUGGACCAUAACUGACGCUGAGGCGCGAAAGCUAGGGGAGCAAACAGGAUUAGAUACCCCGGUAGUCCCUGUCUCUUAUAC